AGUGUUUCGGGAGGGCCUUGCGACUUCAGCAUCCCUUGGUAUGUCUGUUCUUCGGACUUCUUGACAGACUCCUGUCUUAAGGGGAGAGGUCCACUGGCUAAUGUGACAGCCUUCUAGGACUAACAGCUAUAUGCGCAUGACACCGAUGGGGAUUUCCUUUUCAGAAAUUAAGUUCAUAUUC